UACGUAGGCAGCAAGCGUUGUUCGGAGUUACUGGGCGUAAAGGGUGCGUAGGCGGUUGUUUAAGUUUGGUGUGAAAUCUCCCGCUCAACCGGGAGGGUGCGCCGAAUACUGAAUGACUAGAGUGCGGGAGAGGAGAGUGGAAUUCCUGGUGUAGCGGUGAAAUGCGUAGAUAUCGGGAGGAACACCAGUGGCGAAGGCGACUUCCUGGCCUGUUCUUGACGCUGAGGCGCGAAAGCUAGGGGAGCAAACGGGG
rnacentral:rRNA from 1 species